rnacentral:rRNA from 1 species
GACGAACGCUGGCGGCGUGCUUAACACAUGCAAGUCGAACGGAAAGACCCUGCUUUUGUGGGGUGCUCGAGUGGCGAACGGGUGAGUAACACGUGAGUCACCUGCCCUUGACUUUGGGAUAACUUCAGGAAACUGGGGCUAAUACCGGAUAGGAGCUCCUGCUGCAUGGUGGGGGUUGGAAAGUUUCGGCGGCUGGGGAUGGACUCGCGGCUUAUCAGCUUGUUGGUGGGGUAGUGGCUUACCAAGGCUUUGACGGGUAGCCGGCCUGAGAGGGUGACCGGCCACAUUGGGACUGAGAUACGGCCCAGACUCCUACGGGAGGCAGCAGUGGGGAUUAUUGCACAAUGGGCGGAAGCCUGAUGCAGCAACGCCGCGUGCGGGAUGACGGCCUUCGGGUUGUAAACCGCUUUCGCCUGUGACGAAGCGUGAGUGACGGUAAUGGGUAAAGAAGAACCGGCUAACUACGUG